rnacentral:rRNA from 1 species
UGCAGUCGAGCGGAACGAUCCUAGCUUGCUAGGAGGCGUCGAGCGGCGGACGGGUGAGUAACGCAUAGGAAUCUACCCAGUUGUGGGGGACAACCUGAGGAAACUCAGGCUAAUACCGCAUACGUCCUACGGGAGAAAGCGGGGGCUCUUCGGACCUCGCGCGAUUGGAUGAGCCUAUGUCGGAUUAGCUAGUUGGUGGGGUAAUGGCCCCCCAAGGCGACGAUCCGUAGCUGGUCUGAGAGGAUGAUCAGCCACACCGGGACUGAGACACGGCCCGGACUCCUACGGGAGGCAGCAGUGGGGAAUAUUGGACAAUGGGCGCAAGCCUGAUCCAGCCAUGCCGCGUGUGUGAAGAAGGCUUUCGAGUUGUAAAGCACUUUCAGCGGGGAAGAAAGCGUGCCGGCCAAUACCCGGUACGGACGACAUCACCCGCAGAAGAAGCACCGGCUAACUCCGUGCCAGCAGCCGCGGUAAUACGGAGGGUGCAAGCGUUAAUCGGAAUUACUGGGCGUAAAGGGCGCGUAGGCGGCGUGUCACGCCGGGUGUGAAAGCCCCGGGCUCAACCUGGGAAUGGCAUCCGGAACGGGCAGGCUAGAGUGCAGGAGAGGAAGGUAGAAUUCCCGGUGUAGCGGUGAAAUGCGUAGAGAUCGGGAGGAAUACCAGUGGCGAAGGCGGCCUUCUGGACUGACACUGACGCUGAGGUGCGAAAGCGUGGGUAGCAAACAGGAUUAGAUACCCUGGUAGUCCACGCCGUAAACGAUGUCGACUAGCCGUUGGGUCCCUUGAGGACUUAGUGGCGCAGUUAACGCGAUAAGUCGACCGCCUGGGGAGUACGGCCGCAAGGUUAAAACUCAAAUGAAUUGACGGGGGCCCGCACAAG